rnacentral:rRNA from 1 species
CUACGGGGGGCAGCAGUGGGGAAUAUUGCACAAUGGGCGAAAGCCUGAUGCAGCAACGCCGCGUGGAGGAUGACACAUUUCGGUGCGUAAACUCCUUUUAUAUAAGAAGAUAAUGACGGUAUUAUAUGAAUAAGCACCGGCUAACUCCGUGCCAGCAGCCGCGGUAAUACGGGGGGUGCAAGCGUUACUCGGAAUCACUGGGCAUAAAGAGCAUGUAGGCUGGAUGACAAGUUGGAAGUGAAAUCCUAUGGCUUAACCAUAGAACUGCUUCCAAAACUGUCUUCCUAGAGUAUGGGAGAGGUAGAUGGAAUUUCUGGUGUAGGGGUAAAAUCCGUAUAGAUCAGAAGGAAUACCGAUUGCGAAGGCGAUCUACUGGAACAUUACUGACGCUCAGAUGCGAAAGCGUGGGGAGCAAACAGGAUUAGAUACCCUGGUAGUC